rfam:Salmo salar isolate Sally breed double haploid chromosome ssa11, whole genome shotgun sequence.
CCAAAGGCUCUUUUAAGAGCCACCUAAUAAAUGAAAAUAAGUGUUU